rnacentral:lncRNA from 1 species
CAACAGUUUUAUCCCUUGCCUUUACUCGUGUGGCCAAAAGCCACCUCCCUCAACCUCGUAGUGUCCCUGUUGCGGACCUACCCGCAAGUCUCACUACCAGCAGCCACAGGAAACAGCAACAGCUUCCAACCCGAAUCCUGUAUAGCCUAAAGAAUUGGAAUCUUACCUGUCUCAGCGCUUGAGACUGGAAUUUUACCAAGAAGAAGUGUCU